UAUUUCUUUCCGAGGGGAGUGUUCCCGAAUCGGAGGAACGGCCUAGGGCGAUCGAUGGGGGAGGCGGCCAUGGAGGUAGAGGUCGAGGGAACGGACUCCGACCUACGCCGGGAAUCGUCUGUUCCUCAUUCGUCAUCAUCUUCGGAGCCAGAGAAGGCGGAGAUGACGAUCUCUUUGCCUGAAGAAGCCGAUGGAAACCCCGACCUCCCCCCGCCCGACCAAAAUCCUUCUUGGUUCACUCCCAAGAGGUUACUUGUGAUUUUUUGUAUUAUCAACAUGUUAAAUUAUGUUGAUAGGGGUGUAAUAGCAAGUAACGGUGUAAAUGGUAGCCACAAGUCCUGCAUAAAUGGUACAUGCAGUUCGGGCACUGGAAUUCAAGGAUAUUUUAACCUGAACUAUUUUGAAGAUGGUGUACUUUCAUCAGCGUUCAUGGUCGGGCUUUUAGUGGCAUCUCCCAUUUUUGCAUCAUUAGCAAAGAGCCAUAAUCCUUUUAGAUUAAUUGGAGUGGGUCUGUCAGUUUGGACUAUUGCUACAGCUGGUUGUGGUGGCUCAUUUAACUUUUGGUCUAUAGCAAUAUGCCGAAUGUUGGUUGGUGUUGGUGAAGCUUCUUUCAUAAGUCUUGCAGCUCCAUUUAUAGAUGACAAUGCUCCUGUUACUCAGAAAACAGCAUGGCUUGCAAUCUUCUACAUGUGUAUACCUACAGGAAUUGCAAUUGGCUAUGUAUAUGGCGGGCUGGUUGGGAACCAUCUACAUUGGCGAGCUGCAUUCUGGGGAGAGUCAAUUUUGAUGCUUCCAUUUGCCAUUUUAGGUUUCAUCAUAAAACCUUUGCAGCUCAAAGGUUUUACCUCAUCUAAAACAAAACAAGCAAAGAUUAGUGGUGAAUCAAUGGACCAAGAUAUGCAACAUAGUGAUCACCAGAAUGCUGGAACUGAGAUACGAGGCAAUGAUGGUAGUUUAUUUGCAAAAGCACCACAAAAAUUCUCAUCGUGUAGUGGAGUUGAUAGGAUUGUGAAUCAAGUUUCAAGGUUUUGGGAAGAUAUGAAGAUGCUUCUAUCAGAGAAAGUCUAUCUAGUAAAUGUUCUGGGGUAUAUUGCUUACAAUUUUGUUAUAGGGGCUUAUUCAUACUGGGGGCCCAAAGCUGGUCAUGAUAUCUACAAUAUGAGCAAUGCUGAUUUGAUGUUUGGAGGGAUUACUAUAGUUUGUGGGAUUGUUGGAACUCUAGCUGGUGGAUUCAUUCUUGAUCUCAUCAACUCUACUAUCUCCAAUGCUUUUAAGCUUCUAUCUGGAGCAACAUUUUUGGGGGCUAUUUUUUGUUUCAGUGCUUUUUGCUUCAGAAGCCUCUAUGGUUUUAUAGCCUUCUUUGCGGUUGGAGAAAUUCUUGUCUUUGCCACGCAGGGUCCAGUAAAUUAUGUAUGCCUUCAUAGUGUCAAUCCUAGCUUAAGGCCACUGUCAAUGGCUAUUUCAACCGUCUGUAUCCACAUAUUUGGAGAUGUUCCAUCCUCGCCACUGGUUGGGGUCCUGCAGGACUAUGUUAACAACUGGAGAGAAACUUCUCUCAUACUGACAUCGAUUCUGUUUGUUGCUUCUGGAAUUUGGUUCAUAGGCAUCUUUCUUAAAAGCGUAGACCGGUUCAACGAAGAUAAUGAACAUGUUCCUUCCGCCAAGGCAUCAAAUACAAAGCCAUCGCUUGAUGCUAAUAAGGUUUCAGAAGAAUGCAGCUAAAAGAUUUCCAAGAGUUAAUGCAAAAAAUUCUCAACUAUCUACUGCUCUUCACAGGGGAUGUAUAUAGUCUAAGGGAAGCAUCUUUGAACUAUCUUGAUUCUCCUACAAUUCACAAGCGUUGCUUCUGACAAGGCAAUUGGAUAAAAAAAGUAGUCUCUGCCACUGCCAAUUAAAAUUUUAAAUUAGUAUCUUUUCACAAUUCUCUCAUUAUUUUUUUUAAAAAAGAAAGUUGCAAUGUUUUUCAAAGAUGUCAUGUUUAAAUUUUGUGAGUGGAUAUCAUUUAUGAUUCAUGUAAGUAUAUUAUUGGUGGUUCUUGUUUAUAUGAAACUAUUUAUGUUAAAUGCUCAUUCAAGUUAGUGAAACCA